GAUAGGCUUGGUCCUGGCCUUUCCGUUGGUUAUUAAUAGACUUACACAUGCAAGAAUCCCCGCCCCUGUGAAAAUGCCCUCUAAACCAUCUUUUGGUACAAAGGAGCUGGUAUCAAGCACACUAAAAGUAGCUCACAACACCUUGCUAAGCCACACCCCCACGGGAGACAGCAGUGACAAAAAUUAAGCAAUGGACGAAAGUCUGACUAAGUUAUAUUAUUUAGGACUGGUAAAUAUCGUGCCAGCCACCGCGGUCAUACGAUUAGCCCGGACUAACGGACAUUCGGCGUAAAGAGUGUUUUAGAAUUAGACAACUAAUAAAGUUAAGCCCUAGCUGAGCUGUAAAAAGCCCCAGUUAACAUAAGAUAAAUGACGAAAGUAACUUUAAAGAAUCUGACUACACGACAGCUAAGACCCAAACUGGGAUUAGAUACCCCACUAUGCUUAGCCAUAAACAUAAAAAGUUAUAAACAAAACUAUUCGCCAGAGUACUACUAGCAACAGCUAAAAACUCAAAGGACUUGGCGGUGCCUUACAUCCUUCUAGAGGAGCCUGUUCUGUAAUCGAUAAACCCCGAUUUACCUCACCAACCCUUGCCCAAUCAGCCUAUAUACCGCCAUCUUAAGCAAACUCUAUAAAGAGAGAAUAGUAAGCAAAAGCACAACCAUGAGGACGUUAGGUCAAGGUGUAGCCUAUGGGUUGGGAAGAAAUGGGCUACAUUCCUCGAGCCGAGGAAACAUCUACGAAAACCUAUGUGAAAUCAAUAGUUAAAGGUGGAUUUAGCAGUAAAUUAAGAAUAGAGCGCUUAAUUGAAUAAGGCCAUAAGGCACGCACACACCGCCCGUCACCCUCCUCAAACAAAAAAUAUUUAACCAUUCCAUAAAAUGUAGAUAUUAACUUGCAAGAGGAGACAA
rnacentral:ncRNA from 1 species